rnacentral:rRNA from 1 species
CGCAAGCCUGACGGAGCAAGACCGCGUGAGGGAGGAAGGCUCUUGGGUUGUAAACCUCUUUUCUCAGGGGAGAACAAAAUGACGGUACCAAAGGAAUCAGCCUCGGCUAACUCCGUGCCAGCAGCCGCGGUAAUACGGAGGAGGCAAGCGUUAUCCGGAAUUAUUGGGCGUAAAGCGUCCGCAGGUGGCGAUUCAAGUCUGCUGUCAAAGCACGGGGCUUAACUCCGUAAAGGCAGUGGAAACUGAAUAGCUAGAGUGCCGUAGGGGUAGAGGGAAUUCCCGGUGUAGCGGUGAAAUGCGUAGAGAUCGGGAAGAACAUCGGUGGCGAAAGCGCUUUGCUAGACCGAAACUGACACUCAGGGACGAAAGCUAGGGGAGCG